GGACGCAGUCUGAUGGAGCACGCCGCGUGAGUGAAGAAGGCUUUCGGGUCGUAAAACUCUGUUGUUGGAGAAGAAUGGUCGGCAGAGUAACUGUUGUCGGCGUGACGGUAUCCAACCAGAAAGCCACGGCUAACUACGUGCCAGCAGCCGCGGUAAUACGUAGGUGGCAAGCGUUAUCCGGAUUUAUUGGGCGUAAAGCGAGCGCAGGCGGUUUUUUAAGUCUGAUGUGAAAGCCCUCGGCUUAACCGAGGAAGCGCAUCGGAAACUGGGAAACUUGAGUGCAGAAGAGGACAGUGGAACUCCAUGUGUAGCGGUGAAAUGCGUAGAUAUAUGGAAGAACACCAGUGGCGAAGGCGGCUGUCUGGUCUGUAACUGACGCUGAGGCUCGAAAGCAUGGGUAGCGAACAGGAUAGAUACCGGGGUAAGUCCA
rnacentral:rRNA from 2 species